rnacentral:rRNA from 1 species
AAUAUUGCACAAUGGAGGGAACUCUGAUGCAGCAACGCCGCGUGAUUGAAGAAGGUUUUCGGUACGUAAAACUUUUUCAUUGGGGAAGAAUAACUGAAGGUACCAAAUGAGGAAGGCCCGGCUAACUACGUGCCAGCAGCCGCGGUAAUACGUAGGGGGCGAGCGUUGUCCGGAAUUACUGGGCGUAAAGGGUACGUAGGCGGCUAUAUAAGUCAGGUGUGAAAUACCAGUGCUUAACACUGGAAUUGCAUUUGAAACUGUGUAGCUUGAGUGCAGGAGAGGAAAGUGGAAUUCCUAGUGUAGCGGUGAAAUGCGUAGAGAUUAGGAGGAACACCAGUGGCGAAGGCGACUUUCUGGACUGUAACUGACACUGAGGUACGAAAGCGUGGGUAGCGAACA